UGAAGCUGAAGACAUAAUGUAUGUGAAUUGGUUGAGCAUGUUGAGGGCAGGACUUAUAGCAUUAGAGUUUUAUACACCUGAAACAAAGAAAUGGAGACAAGCUCACAUGCAGGCUCCUUAUGUUAUAUUGCAUGCAUUGAUGGAUUCUGAUACUCCUGUAUUUAAUAUUGAGAGUGUUACUGGCUCUGAUGGUAAGCCUGACCUCUUGAUCAGGUUUGAUAGGAAUAAACUGGAGACCAUUGCUAAACCUGUCAUUAGAGAAUUCUUAAAUAAACUGCAGAUAUACAAGUCUACAGCAGACAUUAGCUCAGGACAGUUAUAAUAAAUAUUCAACUGUUACUGAUGAUCAUUUGAUGUUAAGAGAUACUGUAAUGGCUAGGAAGAUGCCUAGAAGGUUAUUUGUACAGCCACACACUUCAAUUGAUACUGAUGGUUCUGUUGUUCUUAAUGAGUUUGAUAGUUCAUUUGAAGGAAUCAUUUCCUCAUUUCUAGCAAGAUAUCCUAACAAUGAUACUGAACUGGAGUCUCUUUGGAGAAAUGACCAGCAUUAUUGGAAACAAAAAUAGACAAUACAUUGUACAUUUAAUACAAAAUUAAAGAACUUGUAUGUGCAUGUAUUUGAUUCAUCGAGUGUUCGUACAUUGUUUGUUGCAUGACACGACAUUGUUGCAUGACACAACAUUGUUGCUUUUCAGUGUUAUAAA